GGCUUACACAUGCAAGUCGAGGGGUAUUGGUUUUCGGACCAAGAGACCGGCGCACGGGUGCGUAACGCGUAUGCAAUCUACCUUUUGCAGAGGGAUAGCCCAGAGAAAUUUGGAUUAAUACCUCAUAGUAUAGUACCUUGGCAUCAAGGAACUAUUAAAGUCACAACGGCAAAAGAUGAGCAUGCGUCCCAUUAGCUAGUUGGUAAGGUAACGGCUUACCAAGGCUACGAUGGGUAGGGGUCCUGAGAGGGAGAUCCCCCACACUGGUACUGAGACACGNACCAAACUNNUACGGGAGGCAGCAGUGAGGAAUAUUGGACAAUGGGCGCAAGCCUGAUCCAGCCAUGCCGCGUGCAGGAUGACGGUCCUAUGGAUUGUAAACUGCUUUUAUACAGGAAGAAACACUCCGACGUGUCGGAGCUUGACGGUACUGUAAGAAUAAGGAUCGGCUAACUCCGUGCCAGCAGCCGCGGUAAUACGGAGGAUCCAAGCGUUAUCCGGAAUCAUUGGGUUUAAAGGGUCCGUAGGCGGUUUGGUAAGUCAGUGGUGAAAGCCCAUCGCUCAACGGUGGAACGGCCAUUGAUACUGCCAGACUUGAAUUACUGGGGAAGUAACUAGAAUAUGUAGUGUAGCGGUGAAAUGCUUAGAGAUUACAUGGAAUACCAAUUGCGAAGGCAGGUUACUACCAGUGGGAUUGACGCUGAUGGGACGAAAGCGUGGGUAGCGAACAGGAUUAGAUACCCUGGUAGUCCACGCCGUAAACGAUGGAUACUAG
rnacentral:rRNA from 1 species